rnacentral:rRNA from 1 species
GAUUAACGCUGGCGGCGUGCCUAACACAUGCAAGUCGAGCGGCAGCGAGUUUUACACUGAAUUCUGGAAGCUUCUAGUUGAAAGAGAAGAUUUAUUCAAGAAUUUUGUGUAAAAUGUCGGCGAGCGGCGGACGGCUGAGUAACGCGUGGGAACGUACCCCAAAGUGAGGGAUAACGCAUCGAAAGGUGCGCUAAUACCGCAUAUGGUCUUCGGAUUAAAGCCUUCGGGCGCUUUGGGAACGGCCUGCGUAAGAUUAGAUAGUUGGUGGGGUAAUGGCCUACCAAGUCGACGAUCUUUAACUGGUUUGAGAGGAUGAUCAGUCAGACUGGAACUGAGACACGGUCCAGACUCCUACGGGAGGCAGCAGUGAGGAAUCUUCCACAAUGGGCGAAAGCCUGAUGGAGCAACGCCGCGUGCAGGAUGAAGGCCUUCGGGUUGUAAACUGCUUUUAUAAGUGAGGAUUAUGACAGUAACUUAUGAAUAAGGAUCGGCUAACUACGUG